rnacentral:rRNA from 1 species
AUGUGCAAUCAAAAUACACUAGACAGUUUGGCAUCAGGUUUAAUGCUAUAUUGCCUUUUUCUUGUUAAGUAUAAGUACUAUAGUUGGCAACUGAGCUUCUUUCUUAUAUUGUGUAUUGAUGUUCUGUUACGCAAGACACAAAACGAUUGGUUGGAGCUGUUGGAGGAUGCUGAAAUUGCGUAUGCAAGACCUUGCGGUUCUUGUCUUGUCCUGGAACAUUUCUUUUUAGAUGAAAGGCAUAUAGAAUGGCUUUAUAUAAAUAAUCUUGUCCUGGAACAUUUCUUUUUAGAUGAAAGGCAUAUAGAAUGGCUUUAUCUGUAUCUCUACUUCUCUACUUUUUAUUUAAAAAGAAUGUAA